AACGAACGCUGGCGGCGCGCCUAAUACACGCAAGUCGAGCGAGAAGACGUAGCAAUACGUUUGUAAAGCGGCGAACGGGUGAGGAAUACAUGGGUAACCUACCCUCGAGUGGGGAAUAACUAGCCGAAAGGUUAGCUAAUACCGCGUACGCUCCUUGGACUUCGGUUCAGGGAGGAAAGCGAUACCGUGGGUAUCGCGCUCUUGGAUGGGCUCAUGUCCUAUCAGCUUGUUGGUGAGGAACGGCUCACCAAGGCUUCGACGGGUAGCUGGUCUGAGAGGACGAUCAGCCACACUGGCACUGCGACACGGGCCAGACUCCUACGGGAGGCAGCAGUAAGGAAUAUUGCGCAAUGGGCGAAAGCCUGACGCAGCGACGCCGCGUGGGGGA
rnacentral:rRNA from 1 species